rnacentral:rRNA from 1 species
CCUACGGGAGGCUGCAGUAGGGAAUCUUUCACAAUGGGCGAAAGCCUGAUGGAGCAACGCCGCGUGCAGGAUGAAGGCCUUCGGGUUGUAAACUGCUUUUAUAAGCGAGAAAGAUGAUGGUAACUUAUGAAUAAGGAUCGGCUAACUACGUGCCAGCAGCCGCGGUCAUACGUAGGAUCCGAGCAUUAUCCGGAGUGACUGGGUGUAAAGAGUUGCGUAGGUGGCAUAAUAAGUAGCUAGUGAAAUCUGGUGGCUCAACCAUUCAGACUAUUAGCUAAACUGUUAAGCUCGAGACCGUUAGGGGUAACUGGAAUUUCUAGUGUAGGAGUGAAAUCCGUAGAUAUUAGAAGGAACACCAAUCGCGUAGGCAGGUUGCUGGGACGGUUCUGCCACUCAGGCACGAAAGCGUCGGGAGCAAACGGGAUUAGAUACCCGGGUAGUC